UACGUAGGGCGCAAGCGUAUCCGGAAUUAUUGGGCGUAAAGAGCUCGUAGGCGGUUUGUCGCGUCUGCCGUGAAAGUCCGGGGCUCAACUCCGGAUCUGCGGUGGGUACGGGCAGACUAGAGUGAUGUAGGGGAGACUGGAAUUCCUGGUGUAGCGGUGAAAUGCGCAGAUAUCAGGAGGAACACCGAUGGCGAAGGCGACAUCCUGGACCGGUAUUGACGCUGGAGGCGACGGAAAGCCAGGGGAGCAAACGGG
rnacentral:rRNA from 1 species